UAACCUUUGAACAUCGAACAAGAUGGUCAGUUCUUUAUUCUUUGGGGUUUGGGCAUUGGGAAAAAUAAUGAACACUUGCCUUUCAGGAGAACUGAUUACUUAAGAACUUAGAUUGAUAAGAAUUUUAUAGGAUUAAGGAUUUCGCUUAGACUAAGCCUUUUUGAAACAUUGACAAGGAUGUCCUGAUUUUGAUGCCGAUCACGACAUGCUUGAGCAUUACCUAAUAGUCUUAAGUAUCGCAUCAGAGCGGUGAAGAUUUAAAACUAAUUCCAAUCUAAUUUCCCUAGUUAUACCUGUGAUGAUGGCUUCAAGUUCAGCGAUGACGAGCCUUCCAAAUCCAUUGUUUGCCAAUCAAAUGGGACUUGGAGCAAUAUUGGAGCCACCUGUAUUCCGACGCACUGUAUGGAACCCUUGGAAAAUAAAAUCUCGGAAGGCUUCAAAAUAUUCGAUGCCAAUAUAAAUGAAAUACCACAGGGAAAUUACGAGACACACCGCACUUUAAAAAAUAGCUCCAUCAAAUAUUUGUGUGAACACCCCAAAGUGUUUGACACGGAUCCUACUCAAAAGGAGUUGUUUGUGGAAUGUACGACCAAUGGAUCAUACGCUUACCCAUCCGAAUGGCCCACUUGUGUUCAACCUAUUAAAUGUGAUCCACCCAGUGGGUCUCAUGUGGCGAAUGGUCACCAACAGCCUUCUUCAAAAACCACUUACUCCCACAAUGAGGAAGUUCGCUAUGAAUGCAAUGACUAUUUUAAGUUUGCCAAUGGGAGUGCAACGCAAGUGCGAGUUUGCCAUGAUAACGACCUUUGGACCAAUAUUACAGAACAAUGUAUUC